rnacentral:rRNA from 1 species
AUGGGCUCUCUCAUGGCUGGCUGGAGCUCCCAUGCGCUCGACGACGACCUCAAAGUUCGUUUUAUGAGGAACCGGUCGCUGACCAAGGACGAGGUGGAGGCCUUCUGGAGGCAGCACAAGAAGCCGGCGCCGGAGGGCAACGUCGACGGCGGCGAGACCGUCGUCGCCUCCUCUCCCAAGGGGAGCCCGAGGUCGACCCCGCGUCCGUCGACUCUGUCUCAUGUCCGUUCGUCGCCGCCGGUGAUGACUACUAGCGUGGACGGUGACGGCGAGGCUGCCGCUAGCCCCAGCGCGAGCCGCGAUUGGUGGACGAGGAGCAGCUGGGCGUUCCUCAACGAGCCGCCGCCGCCGCCGAAGCGCGAGGGAGCAGGCGUUAGGCAAGGCGCCGCCGCCGCCGUCUGA